GAUGGACGCUGGCGGCGUGCUUAACACAUGCAAGUCGAACGGUGAAGCAGGAGCUUGCUCUUGUGGAUCAGUGGCGAACGGGUGAGUAACACGUGAGCAACCUGCCCCUGACUCUGGGAUAAGCGCUGGAAACGGCGUCUAAUACUGGAUAUGUGAUGUGACCGCAUGGUCUGCAUCUGGAAAGAAUUUCGGUUGGGGAUGGGCUCGCGGCCUAUCAGCUUGUUGGUGAGGUAAUGGCUCACCAAGGCGUCGACGGGUAGCCGGCCUGAGAGGGUGACCGGCCACACUGGGACUGAGACUCGGCCCAGACUCCUACGGGAGGCAGCAGUGGGGAAUAUUGCACAAUGGGCGGAAGCCUGAUGCAGCAACGCCGCGUGAGGGAUGACGGCCUUCGGGUUGUAAACCUCUUUUAGCAGGGAAGAAGCGAAAGUGACGGUACCUGCAGAAAAAGCACCGGCUAACUACGUGCCAGCCGCCGCGGUAA
rnacentral:rRNA from 1 species